rnacentral:rRNA from 1 species
UGAACCUGSGGAAGGAUCAUU